GUUAAAACGGUUUAAAAACCGCUGCUACAAUUUCCCCACUUUGAAAUGUCCAAAUUGCCUCAACCCCAGCAUAAAGUGGGCUGGGUUUUCGGAAACCUUCAGAAGUCCCAACUCAAGAAGGAGGCGAAUCAGAGUGAUGGGAAUUUCUGAAGGGUGGUUGCCCCUCUCUUUUUUGCCAAUGAUUUCACAAUCUACAAAAAUCAACAGCCCUUUUAAUCUACCAGUAACUGUAUCUGUUUCCUCGUCGUUACUGUAUGUUCAUGGAAAGAGUAAAUUUCAUACGCGGUCAAUAAACUUUAAGGGAAAUUUCAAUUGGUCACUGAACUUUAAGCAAAUUUUAUCUGUAGGCUGUGAGGAUUAUUUUCUUUGAGUUGGUUUGGUCAUGGAGAAAUGAGACCCGUAUCUUGGCGCGGCGAACCUUGAUGGCUUUGUAAGGAGGGAGAUUGACGGCGUUCUCUUUUUCUCUUGCAUAUGCAACUGGGCUUUUGCAGCCAUGGCGGUGUCUCGCUCUACAUGCUUCUUGCAUUUUCAGAUCUGAGCCUAACACAGAAACGAGCCACUUCUUGAACUUCAUCCAUCUUGUAUCAAGAUAGCGCCUAGAUGUGGCAUGGAAUCUGAAAGGUAAACACACAACGAUUGUGAAUGAUCAAGAGGGCAGAUUGAUUACAUUAAGAAGACAAACUGAGUAGAUGGUGGAGCAGUUCCCUUGUCUGCAUGAGAUACGAGGCAUAUCUCCUCAGCCAAUGGUUUAAAAUAGCUUUGACAGCGCAAAUAACUUAAAUAAUCAUAAAUUAUUCUAUCUUACCAAUUUAAGAAUAA